UACGGAGGGUGCAAGCGUUAUUCGGAAUUACUGGGCGUAAAGCGUGCGCAGGCGGUUUGGUAAGUCUGCUGUGAAAUCCCCGAGCUCAACUUUGGAAUUGCAGUGGAUACUGGCAAGCUGGAGUACGGUAGAGGAAGGUGGAAUUCCCGGUGUAGCAGUGAAAUGCGUAGAGAUCGGGAGGAACACCAGUGGCGAAGGCGGCCUUCUGGACCAGUACUGACGCUCAGGCACGAAAGCGUGGGGAGCAAACAGG
rnacentral:rRNA from 1 species